AUGAGCAGCCGGGCUCCCAAGUUUAUGCAGAACGUGCGCAGCUUCCCCGAUGGUAAGCGCAACUGCUACAAGAUUCGGUCCCUGGUGCGCGGGCUCAAGUACAUCAUCCGAGCGUGGUUCUUGUACGGCAACUACGACGGCCUUAACACAUCGCCCAUGUUUGACCUCUACAUCGGCGCAAACUUUUGGACGACGGUGAACAUGUCAGGGGGGCCAUCGGACACUUAUUUAACUGUAGAGGCCAUGGUGGUCGUGCCGGACGACUACGUGCAUGUCUGCCUGGUGAACACCGGCGAUGGGACGCCGUUCAUCUCGGCCCUGGAGCUGAGGCCGCUUAAGAGCAUGCUCUAUCCACAGGUGAGCCCGAAGCAGGGCCUGAACCUGCACCGCAGGUUAGACCUCGGCACGGGGAGUAAAACGCGCGUAAUAAGGUACCCUGAUGACCCACAUGACCGAAUAUGGAGACCAGUGGAUACCACCGCAGAAUACCCCAGCAUCACAACGUUUAGAAGGGUGCAGAACCCAAACGAUGACCUUUUCCAGGUGCCGACGGAGGUGAUGGAGACAGCGAUGACUGCCCGGAACGCCUCCGCGCUCAUAGAGAUCACCAUGCACCCUCAGCCUCAGCGCAACAACCCGUCGCCCGGGUACAUUGCUGUCCUGCACAUCGCGGAGCUAGGCAUUCUCAGAGGCAACGCCGUGCGCCAGUUCUACGUCAACGUCAACGGCAAGCGAUGGUACCCAGAUGCUCUCACACCGAAAUACCUCUCCAGUGGUGCCAUCUACGGUGCCAUUGUUCCCGAUCAACAAGGCACCAUCACCAUUUCCAUCGAAGCCACUGCCGGCUCGACACUGCCGCCGAUUGUCAAUGCUUUCGAGAGUUUCUCCGUCAUGCCCACCACUAAAGUCGACACCGAGUCCGAGGAGGGUACGCCCUCGCCCACUCCCACCACUAACGCCGGGUCCAAGGAUGGUAACUUCGGCUCCAACAAGUCCGAGGAUGACGUUUGCAUCGGUGGCAGUUCAUGCAAGAAGAGUAAUAAGCUUGUCCUCUACAUAGCCGUCCCUAUAGCCGGGCUUGUGGUGAUAGGAUCGGCGGCACUACUAAUCUUUUGCUUGCUAAGACGGAAGAAGCAAGGAUCAAGAUGA
rnacentral:rRNA from 1 species